rnacentral:rRNA from 1 species
UAGAGUUUGAUCAUGGCUCAGGACGAACGCUGGCGGCGUGCCUAAUACAUGCAAGUAGAACGCUGAAGAGAGGAGCUUGCUCUUCUUGGAUGAGUUGCGAACGGGUGAGUAACGCGUAGGUAACCUGCCUUGUAGCGGGGGAUAACUAUUGGAAACGAUAGCUAAUACCGCAUAACAAUGGAUGACACAUGUCAUUUAUUUGAAAGGGGCAAUUGCUCCACUACAAGAUGGACCUGCGUUGUAUUAGCUAGUAGGUGAGGUAAUGGCUCACCUAGGCGACGAUACAUAGCCGACCUGAGAGGGUGAUCGGCCACACUGGGACUGAGACACGGCCCAGACUCCUACGGGAGGCAGCAGUAGGGAAUCUUCGGCAAUGGGGGCAACCCUGACCGAGCAACGCCGCGUGAGUGAAGAAGGUUUUCGGAUCGUAAAGCUCUGUUGUAAGUCAAGAACGGGUGUGAGAGUGGAAAGUUCACACUGUGACGGUAGCUUACCAGAAAGGGACGGCUAACUACGUGCCAGCAGCCGCGGUAAUACGUAGGUCCCGAGCGUUGUCCGGAUUUAUUGGGCGUAAAGCGAGCGCAGGCGGUUUGAUAAGUCUGAAGUUAAAGGCUGUGGCUCAACCAUAGUUCGCUUUGGAAACUGUCAAACUUGAGUGCAGAAGGGGAGAGUGGAAUUCCAUGUGUAGCGGUGAAAUGCGUAGAUAUAUGGAGGAACACCGGUGGCGAAAGCGGCUCUCUGGUCUGUAACUGACGCUGAAGCUCGAAAGCGUGGGGAGCGAACAGGAUUAGAUACCCUGGUAGUCCACGCCGUAAACGAUGAGUGCUAGGUGUUGGAUCCUUUCCGGGAUUCAGUGCCGCAGCUAACGCAUUAAGCACUCCGCCUGGGGAGUACGACCGCAAGGUUGAAACUCAAAGGAAUUGAC